CUAAGUGGCGAGGAAAUCGGUGAGGUGUGACCUAUUCUGCAUAUUUACCCGUAAUGCUAUCGGCAUGGAAAAAAACUUUGUAAAACGUUUGUAUAUUAUUAAAAUAUUACAACAUGAGCGUUCAUCAUUUUUCCAAACUUGUAAAGAAAAGAUAGCUACAGUAUUACGGGAUAGAAAAACGGAAAAAUAGUGAAAACAAACACAAAAAUUGACAUAUCUUUGUUAUGUGUCUAACGUUGGUUAAAAUAACUGUACAUUUUUCUAUGUUUUAAUAGUUUGUAGUAAAUCCAUGUUUCGUGAAAAUUGUGCAGACAGUCAAAAGUGAAAAACAUGGUACGAUAUUAACACUUUCAUACUACACACAUAAACCACGUUAAAUAUCGAUUAUUAUCAAGAAUGAUUAGAGAAACGUACUGUUUAGUGAUUAUUAAAGAAAUAACAAGCUAUUAACUUUUCCGUAUAGGCCAUAAUACCCUGGUUUACUCUAAACAAUCGAAAGUAAAAUUCCUAACUGUUUAAUUCUCACGUGUUACUCUACUUAAGUGCCCUGGCUAAACUUCGGAUAAACUUUGCAUUCAAGAAACUUGUCGCUAUUGAAUUUUGUGGCGAAAGACCAGCGUUAAAAUCUGUCGUUGAAUCCAAGAUUUGAAAUGGACUACAUCAACGUAGAUAUCGUAUAACCGUGGAUCGCAGAGCAAAGUGGUAUUUCCACUAGCUAAACCUCCCGAAUAAAGACCGCGUAACUCAUAACGGCCUGUGUGGUUGUUCAGCAGCACCAGUGCGUUCCCCGAGUCACCGUCACAAAGACCGUUUUUUUCGUCUAACGAAUUGGCGCAAAAGGUACGAUUCGAGGUGUAAGAAAUAUAUCUAUUAUCACUCCGGAGGCAAGUUUCCUGCAAUUUGCACAAAAAAAUUUAAUUAAGGCUUGCAAUGACUCCGAUUCAUAUAACAACUACCUAUAAUUGCUUACUUGACCCGCUAUCGUCACCUUUAUCAUCCGCUGUUCUUGGAAAUCACGAUGACCCAACGGGUCUUGGCCCCUUCCUACAACAUACCCCGUCUUACCGACGACAUCUUCAAGAGUGGUCGAACUACCCAAAUAGCACAGGACGUCCUCAGGAUCAUCCUGAAUAUGUCCCGGGAUGUCCUGGGAUCUUUUCAGGACAUAGUUGUAUUACUGUAAAUAUUUUAUAUAAAUAUUUUAUGUAUAAAACUUACUUCAGAAAUAAUUCUAGAAUGUUAAAUACUGUUGUAAAUAAAAAUCUUCCAUAAGUGUCCACAUAGCAUAUAAGAAGUUUCCUUGGGACAUCCUACGAAAGUCCUCAGGACAUCCUACGAAAGUCUCCUCAGGAUAUCCUACGAGAGUCCUCAGGAUAUCCUACGAGAGUCCUCAGGAUAUCCUACGAGAGUCCUCAGGAUAUCCUACGAGAGUCCUCAGGAUAUCCUACGAGAGUCCUCAGGAUAUCCUGAACAUAUAUUAUUUUAACGGUGACACGUACUAUACCUCAUAUCAUUACAGAUACAAAUCAUGUUUCCAUAUGGUAAUUAUAGGGAGUUCUUUUUCAAAUGGUUAUUUCCAUUAUUUUAAUUUUUGAAAAAUAAUAGCCGGUAAAUUAACAGAACAAGUGAGCCAUUUUUUAAUACUGUGUUUCAUGCAUGACUAAAAUUUUACAUUUAAAAUUACACUGGGCUUGAGAGUGCGUUCCGGCAAGACACUGCUGUAGUGCUACGCAAGUUACGCUCCAUGUGAAUCCAGCCUUAUACUUACAUCAUGGCCAGAACCGUCGGAACGCAGUCCCAACUGUCCGGCUGUCCCGAUCUUUUCCGGUCUGGCUCUAACCUUCUUUACCUGUGCGCCUCGAGGAAAACGCUUGAGGUUACAAUUGUGUUGCAGUAUCUUUGAGACUUAAUAAUCAAUGCUCUUAAAAUUGAGCAAAGUUUUUCUGAAAAAAACUUAUCUUGCAUUGAAUUAGAUAGUGCAGAAGGCUGUGUUUUAAUGUUUGAGAAUAUAUCUCGUGUCUGGCAAUAUCACCAAUCGCAUCUUGAAAUUUUUCUAAGUCUAUAUACAAGUAUGUAUAUUCCGUUCUCAAUCAAAUUACAUAUUUUUCUUGUAAAAUAAUAAAUAUUCUUUUAUUAUCUCACUCGCUCAAUCUUGAUUGGUCUGUUCUUUUUUGCUGCACUGUUAUAUUAGUACAAUAAGUUAAAAUUAGAAAUAAUGUAUUUGUGUUUCAUUCUUACUUUCUAGUAUUAAUUUUUUAUUUCCAGUUGUUAAUUUGUAACUUUUAAUACAAUAUACUAAACUGUUUUCAGGAAGACAAAUUUACCAUGUCGCAUAAACAUUCGUAUAAACGCGUACUUAGUUUUUCACAACGAAGAAAGAUGGUAAAAAUGGAAACAGAUAUUAUAAUGGAAUCUCAUAAAACUAUGGAAUCAACAUUUGUUUCAACAUCAUUUUCUGAAAAUACAUUACAAAAUCGAAAUAUGCAUGAUGACGAUAUAAUCC